UCUUGUAACUUCGGUGUAUACAUUACAACUGUCUUGCUGUAGUCUUCUUUACAAGAAGCCAAAAUCACAUUGCUUUCCAAACUGUAUGCACGCUGUGUGAAUAAACUUUGUUCCUGUUGAAGUGCUGUGUGCAGUGUACAGUGCACUUCUCCAUUCCCCCCCCUCUAAUUGAUCUUUCCAUACAUAUUUGUAGGAGAAGACCAGUGCCCUCAGUCUGAGCAACGUGGCUGGAGGCUUCUACAUUCUUGUCGGAGGACUUGGUUUGGCAAUGCUGGUGGCUUUGAUUGAAUUCUGUUACAAGUCCAGAGCCGAGGCGAAACGAAUGAAGAUGACCUUGAAUGAUGCCAUGAGGAGCAAGGCAAGGCUGUCAAUUACAGGAAGUACUGGAGAAAAUGGACGUGUUAUGACUCCAGAAUUUCCAAAAGCAGUGCAUGCAGUACCUUACGUGAGUCCUGGCAUGGGAAUGAAUGUCAGUGUGACUGAUCUCUCGUGAUUGAUAAGAACCUUCUGAGUGCCUUACACAAUGGUUUUCUUGUGCGUUUAUUGUCAAAGUGGUGAGAGGCAUCCAGUAUCUUGAAGACAUUUCUUUCGGCCAAGAAUUCUUAUAUUUGUGGAGUUCAUCUUGAAUUGUAAUGAAUGCUUAGUACAAAACACAACACCAUUUUCUACACAAGUUCAAGAUGAAGCUUGACUGACAUGCACAGCUAACAUGGAAGUACUGUAAUCUAACUGAAGUCGUGUACAGGAAACACACCAGUUUCUGCAGCCACCAUUGUUAGUCCCUUGGUUCAUACUGACUUAAGCACACUUGACAUCAAUUGCAUCAAGAUGUGACAUGUUUUAUAAGAAAAAAAAAACAUUUAAAAGGAAAAAAAUAUUUUUAGGUAUUUUCACAAACAAACUGGCUUUUAAAUAAAUUUGCUUCCAUAAUGGUUGAAUAAGACAAAAAAAAUUAACUGUGGGGAAGUGGAAAAAUCAAAAAAAGGCUUUAGGGCAUCAGUUCCAUAUUUUUGAGAGCCAAAUAUGUAAAUGAUGAGGUGAGGAAAAUAAAUAAAUAAAAGGUUCAAAUCUUGUAAUUUUAAUUGUUAUUAAAACUUUACUGUAUAGCCUAUUCUUUAAUAUUUGGUGUUAAUAUCCAAUUGGCAAUGCUUGACAUUUGAAAUAAACUUUUUUCUAUGGUUUUA